GAAUUGGAGGUUUGUGCCCCCUGAGGCGUGGCUUCCCGGAGCUUAACCGGCGGUUAAAUCGCCCGCCGUGGGGNAGGACGCCCGCCAAGGUUAAAACUCAAAUUGAAACUGACCGGGGGGGCCCCGCAACAACGGUGGAAGCAUGUGGUUUAAUUCGAUGCAACGCGAAGACCUUACCUACUCGUUGACAUCCAGAGAACUUAGCAGAGAUGCUCUUGGUGCCUUCGGGAACUUUGAGACAGGUGCUGCAUGGCUGUCGUCAGCUCGUGUUGUGAAAUGUUGGGUUAAGUCCCGCAAUCGAGCGGCAACCCGUUAUCCUUUGUCUGCCAGCGAUUCGGUCGGGAACUCAAAGGAGACUGCCGGUGAUAAACCGGACGGAAGGUGGGGAUGACGUCAAGUCAUCAUGGCCCUUACGAGUAGGGCUACACACGUGCUACAAAUGGCGUAUACAAAGAGAAGCGACCUCGCGAGAGCAAGCGGACCUCAUAAAGUACGUCGUAGUCCGGAUUGGAGUCUGCAACUCGACUCCAUGAACGUCGGAAUCGCUAGUAAUCGUAGAUCAGAAUCGCUACGGUGAAUACGUUCCCGGGCCUUGUACACACCGCCCCGUCACCACCAUGGGAGUGCGGUUGCCAAAAGAAGUACGGCUAGCUUAACACAUUCGGGACGGGCGCUUACCACUUUGUGAUUCAUAACCUG
rnacentral:rRNA from 1 species